CAAUAGCGUAUAUUAAAGUUGUUGCGGUUAAAAAGCUCGUAGUUGGAUUUCUGCUGAGGACGACCGGUCCGCCCUCUGGGUGAGUAUCUGGCUUGGCCUUGGCAUCUUCUUGGAGAACGUAGCUGCACUUGACUGUGUGGUGCGGUAUCCAGGACUUUUACUUUGAGGAAAUUAGAGUGUUUCAAGCUAGGCACACGCCUUGAAUACAUUAGCAUGGAAUAAUAGAAUAGGACGUGUGGUUCUAUUUUGUUGGUUUCUAGGACCGCCGUAAUGAUUAAUAGGGAUAGUCGGGGGCGGUCAGUAUUCAGUCUGUCAGAGGUGAAAAUUCUUGGAUUUGCUGAAGACUAACUUAUGCGAAAGCAUUCACCAAGGAUGUCUUCUUUAAUCAAGAACGAAAGUUGGGGGAUCGAAGAUGAUCAGAUACCG
rnacentral:rRNA from 1 species